rnacentral:rRNA from 1 species
GAGUGGCGAACUGGUGAGUAACACGUGGGAAACCUGCCCAGAAGCGGGGGAUAACACCUGGAAACAGAUGCUAAUACCGCAUAACAACUUGGACCGCAUGGUCCGAGCUUGAAAGAUGGCUUCGGCUAUCACUUUUGGAUGGUCCCGCGGCGUAUUAGCUAGAUGGUGGGGUAACGGCUCACCAUGGCAAUGAUACGUAGCCGACCUGAGAGGGUAAUCGGCCACAUUGGGACUGAGACACGGCCCAAACUCCUACGGGAGGCAGCAGUAGGGAAUCUUCCACAAUGGACGAAAGUCUGAUGGAGCAACGCCGCGUGAGUGAAGAAGGGUUUCGGCUCGUAAAACUCUGUUGUUAAAGAAGAACAUAUCUGAGAGUAACUGUUCAGGUAUUGACGGUAUUUAACCAGAAAGCCACGGCUAACUACGUGCCAGCAGCCGCGGUAAUACGUAGGUGGCAAGCGUUGUCCGGAUUUAUUGGGCGUAAAGCGAGCGCAGGCGGUUUUUUAAGUCUGAUGUGAAAGCCUUCGGCUCAACCGAAGAAGUGCAUCGGAAACUGGGAAACUUGAGUGCAGAAGAGGACAGUGGAACUCCAUGUGUAGCGGUGAAAUGCGUAGAUAUAUGGAAGAACACCAGUGGCGAAGGCGGCUGUCUGGUCUGUAACUGACGCUGAGGCUCGAAAGUAUGGGUAGCAAACAGGAUUAGAUACCCUGGUAGUCCAUACCGUAAACGAUGAAUGCUAAGUGUUGGAGGGUUUCCGCCCUUCAGUGCUGCAGCUAACGCAUUAAGCAUUCCGCCUGGGGAGUACGGCCGCAAGGCUGAAACUCAAAGGAAUUGACGGGGGCCCGCACAAGCGGUGGAGCAUGUGGUUUAAUUCGAAGCUACGCGAAGAACCUUACCAGGUCUUGACAUACUAUGCAAAUCUAAGAGAUUAGACGUUCCCUUCGGGGACAUGGAUACAGGUGGUGCAUGGUUGUCGUCAGCUCGUGUCGUGAGAUGUUGGGUUAAGUCCCGCAACGAGCGCAACCCUUAUUAUCAGUUGCCAGCAUUAAGUUGGGCACUCUGGUGAGACUGCCGGUGACAAACCGGAGGAAGGUGGGGAUGACGUCAAAUCAUCAUGCCCCUUAUGACCUGGGCUACACACGUGCUACAAUGGAUGGUACAACGAGUUGCGAACUCGCGAGAGUAAGCUAAUCUCUUAAAGCCAUUCUCAGUUCGGAUUGUAGGCUGCAACUCGCCUACAUGAAGUCGGAAUCGCUAGUAAUCGCGGAUCAGCAUGCCGCGGUGAAUACGUUCCCGGGCCUUGUACACACCGCCCGUCACACCAUGAGAGUUUGUAACACCCAAAGUCGGUGGGGUAACCUUUUAGGAACCAGCCGCCUAAGGUGGGACAGAUGAUUAGGGUGAAGUCGUAACAAGGUAGCCGUAGGAGAACCUGCGGUUGGAU